CGGAGGGUGCAAGCGUUAAUCGGAAUUACUGGGCGUAAAGGGUUCGUAGGUGGUUUAUUAAGUUAUUUGUAAAAUCCCUGGGCUUAACCUGGGCAGGUCAGAUAAUACUGGUAGACUCGAGUAUGGGAGAGGGUAGUGGAAUUUCCGGCGUAGCGGUGAAAUGCGUAGAGAUCGGAAGGAACACCAGUGGCGAAGGCGGCUACCUGGCCUAAUACUGACACUGAGGAACGAAAGCGUGGGGAGCAAACAGGAUUAGAUACCCUGGUAGUCCACGCCGUAAACGAUGUCAACUAGCUGUUGGUCAUAUUGAUAUGAUUAGUGGCGCAGCAAACGCGAUAAGUUGACCGCCUGGGGAGUACGGUCGCAAGAUUA
rnacentral:rRNA from 1 species